rnacentral:tmRNA from 1 species
GGGGACGACAUGGCUUCGACGCUGGUGACGAACCCUUGGGUGCAUGUCGAGAUGGCAGCCAAUCUCGUAAAUCAAAAGCUGCAAUUAAAUAGUCGCAAACGACGAAAACUACGCACUGGCGGCCUAAGGGCCUGCCAGUCGUCCCGGCUAGGAUGCCUGUAACCUAGUAGCAACAUCCCGGGACGUCAUCGCUAACAGGAUGCUCCGUUAGUCAGAUCCCACUGGCUGGCGGCUAAGAUUAAAGGGAUCGCCUCUUGCACCCUGGCCUUCGGGUCGCUUGAGGUUAAAUCAAUAGAAGGACACUAAGCAUGUAGAUCUCAAGGCCUAGUGCUGGCGGACGCGGGUUCAAUUCCCGCCGUCUCCACCA